rnacentral:lncRNA from 1 species
GCAGAUGAAUGGUCUCUCUGGCUACCUUUAGACUUUCUUAUCAGCUUGCAGCUGAGCCCGUGCUUUCCCCACACCCCACUUCGUAAUUUCUGCAUGUUUGGUUGUUCAUUGCAGUGUGUUUGGAAGCAGUUAAACCUGUGGUGCUGUGAAGAAUCUGGCCAGCAUACAGGUUCCCAGCCCUGAAAGUGAUACAGGUGUCAGCACAACCCAGCAGGCUUGACCCAGCUGAUCCACACCUUCCAAAUGUGCCUUUAGAGGCAACUAGAAACACCUGCCCUGCUUAUGAGAUGUUAAAAGUGUAAGGGUUCUCACUAAGGUAGUGCUCUAAGAUUUAGGUAAGGUGACUGUGACUGUCUCUGUUAUGAGGAGCUAGGCAGGCUGGUGCUCUGGUCUUGCUUGUGAUGCCAUAUGCAGCAGAAAUCAGAGCUGUCUUCUGGCAAAAAGGCUCAAAGGUGUGGUGGGCUGCUUUUCUCCAUGCUGAGUUUUGCCAACCUGAGGAUAGCUGAGCUGUUCAGGAGAAGGGGGCUAGCCUGCUGAAAUACUGCAUGCAGCAGCUGCCAGAUAGAAACAUUGCUCAGCUGCGACUUCUAUGAGUGCAUGAGAACCUGAAAGCAUAAGUAAAUCACCACAGGUAGCAUG